UUGAUGGGGGGGAAAUUAAAAUCAUGUAAUAAUAAAUAUUUCAAAAUGAUGUAAAUUUAGUUUUAAUAAAAUUGAAUUAUUUUCAACAUAGAUGAGUGAAUGUAAAUUGAAUCAUGAUAGUCCUUAGUUUAAGGUUUGGUAACAUAUGUUAUAGUAUUGUUGGUAUUUUUAAGGCUAGAUUUUGAAAUCUUAUUUUUUUAAAUUGAUCUAUAUGUGUUUAGUGACUAUCUAAUAACUUGAUUUAAACACUUUCUAAGUAUCUAUUAAGUUUAAGGAAGUAUUUUUUGCUUAAUUAUUUGAUUAGAUGGUCUGGAAGACUCACAGAAGACUUUUAGGGUUUCCGCCUAAAUUUUGAUAAAAUUUAGGGUUCCGGCCUAAAUUUUAGAAAAAUUUAGGUUUUUCGCCUAAAUCGAAGUCUUCCAGAAGUCUUCUAGGGGAAGUCUUCUCAUGUAUUGGAUCUUAAAAAUAUUUAAUAAAUUUUAUAAAAAAUAUUUUGAAAGGGAAAAAAUCAAAAUCAUGUAUUAAUAAACAAUUCUAAAUGAUGGAAAUUUAGUUUUACUAAAAUUAAAUUAUUUUUAACAUAGAUGAGUGAAUGUAGAUUGAAUCAUGACAGCCUUUGGUUCAGGGUUUGACAACAUAUGAUAUAGUAUUGUUGGUAUUUAAUAAGUUGGUCUGACAUUUAAUGAUUUUUGUUUUGCUAUUUAGUUAGUUAUUUGAUUAGGUUAGUGUUUGGAAGGCUUCGAGAAGAUUUCUGACAUAUUCAUUCCUAAAUUUUAGUAGAAUUUAAGUUUUUCGCCUAAAUUUUAGUAGAAUUUAGGUUUUCCGCCUAAAUCGAAGUCUUCUGGAAGUCUUAUCUCGUAUUAGAUCUUAAAAGUAAUUUAUAAAAUAUAUUUUGAUAGGGAAAAAUCAAAAUCAUGUAAAUAUAAAUAUUUCUAAAUGAUGUAAAUUUAAUGUUACUAAAAUUGAAUUAUUGUUAAUAUAGAUGAGUGAAUAUAGAUUGAGUUAUGAUAG
rnacentral:lncRNA from 1 species